UACGGAGGGAGCAAGCGUUACUCGGAAUUAUUGGGCGUAAAGGGCGCGUAGGCGAUUUGAAAAGUCUUGUGUGAAAGCCCCGAGCUUAACUCGGGAAGUGCACAAGAAACUGUUGAAUUUGAGUUCCGGAGAGGAAGGCAGAAUUCCCGGUGUAGCGGGUGAAAUGCGUAGAUAUCGGGAGGAAUACCAGUGGCGAAGGCGGCCUUCUGGACGGAUACUGACGCUGAGGCGCGAAAGCCAGGGGAG
rnacentral:rRNA from 1 species